GCUGGCAUUCCCUGGCAUAUUGGUGCGCCGCCUCAGAAAGGUGCAGCGCGGAAUAAAGAUCCCAGAGCGGCUUGCCGGACCUUUGUGCGCGCAGCCGCUCUGAUUAUUUGUUUUUACACAUUCCGACCAAUUGCCGAGGACGCUCCCGAAAACGAAGACCCGGCAGAAAACCACCGUCGAUGAAAACCAUCUGACAAUAUAAAAGGCGCCGCUGAACGGCGCCUUUUAU
rfam:Brucella melitensis biovar Abortus 2308 chromosome I, complete sequence, strain 2308